AGUGGCGGACGGGUGAGUAACGCGUAAGAAUCUAACUUCAGGACGGGGACAACAGAGGGAAACGACUGCUAAUACCCGAUGUGCCGCGAGGUGAAACCUAAUUGGCCUGAAGAAGAGCUUGCGUCUGAUUAGCUAGUUGGUGGGGUAAGAGCCUACCAAGGCGACGAUCAGUAGCUGGUCUGAGAGGAUGAGCAGCCACACUGGGACUGAGACACGGCCCAGACUCCUACGGGAGGCAGCAGUGGGGAAUUUUCCGCAAUGGGCGAAAGCCUGACGGAGCAACGCCGCGUGAGGGAGGAAGGUCUUUGGAUUGUAAACCUCUUUUCUCAAGGAAGAAGUUCUGACGGUACUUGAGGAAUCAGCCUCGGCUAACUCCGUGCCAGCAGCCGCGGUAAUACGGGGGAGGCAAGCGUUAUCCGGAAUUAUUGGGCGUAAAGCGUCCGCAGGUGGUCAGCCAAGUCUGCCGUCAAAUCAGGUUGCUUAACGACCUAAAGGCGGUGGAAACUGGCAGACUAGAGAGCAGUAGGGGUAGCAGGAAUUCCCAGUGUAGCGGUGAAAUGCGUAGAGAUUGGGAAGAACAUCGGUGGCGAAAGCGUGCUACUGGGCUGUAUCUGACACUCAGGGACGAAAGCUAGGGGAGCGAAAGGGAUUAGAUACCCCUGUAGUCCUAGCCGUAAACGAUGGAUACUAGGCGUGGCUU
rnacentral:rRNA from 1 species